rnacentral:rRNA from 1 species
GACGAACGCUGGCGGCGUGCCUAAUACAUGCAAGUAGAACGCUGAAGAGAGGAGCUUGCUCUUCUUGGAUGAGUUGCGAACGGGUGAGUAACGCGUAGGUAACCUGCCUGGUAGCGGGGGAUAACUAUUGGAAACGAUAGCUAAUACCGCAUAAAAUUGAUUAUUGCAUGAUAAUUAAUUGAAAGAUGCAACUGCAUCACUACCAGAUGGACCUGCGUUGUAUUAGCUAGUUGGUGAGGUAACGGCUCACCAAGGCGACGAUACAUAGCCGACCUGAGAGGGUGAUCGGCCACACUGGGACUGAGACACGGCCCAGACUCCUACGGGAGGCAGCAGUAGGGAAUCUUCGGCAAUGGGGGGAACCCUGACCGAGCAACGCCGCGUGAGUGAAGAAGGUUUUCGGAUCGUAAAGCUCUGUUGUAAGAGAAGAACGGGUGUGAGAGUGGAAAGUUCACACUGUGACGGUAUCUUACCA